CCUACGGGGGGCAGCAGUGGGGAAUAUUGCACAAUGUGGGAAACCCUGAUGCAGCGACGCCGCGUGAGUGAAGCAGUAUUUCGGUAUGUAAAGCUCUAUCAGCAGGGAAGAAAAUGACGGUACCUGAUUACGAAUCCCCGGCUGCCUCCGUGCCAGCCGCCGCGGUAAUACGUAGGGGGCAAGCGUUAUCCGGAUUUACUGGGUGUAAAGGGCGCGUAGACGGCAGCACAAGUCUGGAGGGAAAUGCCGGGGCUUAACCCCGGAACUGCUGUGGAAACUGUGCAGCUAGAGUGCAGGAGAGGUAAGUGGAAGUCCUAGUGUAGCGGUGAAAUGCGUAGAUAUUAGGAGGAACACCAGUGGCGAAGGCGGCUUACUGGACUGUAACUGACGUUGAGGCGCGAAAGCGUGGGGAGCAAACAGGAUUAGAUACCCCGGUAGUC
rnacentral:rRNA from 1 species